ACCAUUAUCGUCUAGUGGUUUAGGAUGCCAGAUUUUCAAGAUACCUUACAAUAUCAAUUUGAGAUUUCUGGAGACCGGGGUUCGAACCCCCGUAAUGGUA